UAUUUGCCGGAUUUCUGUGUGAAGGAUAGCAGUGAAAAUCCUUUUAUGAAGCCUUGCGGAAUAAAAGAUUGUAACGAAUAGCCUGACGGCAA
rnacentral:sRNA from 1 species